GUGCUCGAUUCGGCAGCACAUAUACUAAAAUUGGAAUGAUACAGAGAAGAUUAUCUUGGCCCCUUCACAAGGAUGACACGCAAAUUUGUGAAGCGUUCCAUCUUUUU
rnacentral:snRNA from 1 species